CCCGUAGGGCGCAAGCGUUUUCCGGAAUUAUUGGGCGUAAAGAGCUCGUAGGCGGUCUGUUACGUCUGCUGUGAAAACCCAGGGCUUAACCCUGGGCUUGCAGUGGAUACGGGCAGACUAGAGGCAGGUAGGGGAGAAUGGAAUUCCCGGUGUAGCGGUGAAAUGCGCAGAUAUCGGGAGGAACACCGGUGGCGAAGGCGGUUCUCUGGGCCUGACCUGACGCUGAGGAGCGAAAGCGUGGGGAGCGAACAGG
rnacentral:rRNA from 1 species